UACGAAGGGGGCUAGCGUUGUUCGGAAUUACUGGGCGUAAAGCGCACGUAGGCGGGUUGUUAAGUCAGGGGUGAAAUCCUGGAGCUCAACUCCAGAACUGCCUUUGAUACUGGCAACCUAGAGACUGGAAGAGGUUAGUGGAAUUCCCAGUGUAGAGGUGAAAUUCGUAGAUAUCGGGAAGAACACCAGUGGCGAAGGCGGCUAACUGGUCCAGCACUGACGCUGAGGUGCGAAAGCGUGGGGAGCAAACAGG
rnacentral:rRNA from 1 species